rnacentral:lncRNA from 1 species
UACUGGCCACGUGACCUUAGGCAAGUCAUUUCAUGGCUCUGUACUUCAACUUCUUUAUUGGUAAAAUGAGGAUAAUAAUUUAAAAACUUACCUCAAAAGACUGUUAUGAGGAUUACAUAACAUAUGCAAGGCGCUCAGAACAGUGCCUGGCACCUAGUAAGCACUAUAUAAAUGUUAGGUGUUAUUAUUACUGUACUUUUCUUAUAACGUGGUAAUCUCUUCGUCUAAUUAUCCAUGAUUAUACUAAAAAACUGAAGAUUUGCUUUCAAAUAAUUCCACAAUUGUUUCCAUUAAUAGCUACAGAAAACAGCUAGUUUACCACUAAAUGUUAUAACUUAACUACAAGUCGAAUGUGAGAAAAAAUAUAUUCGAGAUGAAACCUGGACUAUGAAGAAAAUAAGCCUUCCUAAGCAGUAAUUCAGUUUAACAGAAAUGUAUCGUAAUUAUAAACAGCCAGUCUCUUGCUUUCAACAUGUGGCAUAAUUAUCCAAGUUCCCCUAUGUGACAGACACAAAACAAUUAAAAAAUUCAGAUUCCUAUUUCUGCUUAAAGCACCAAGCUUUCCUAUGUUUGCUUUAGUAUCUUCAAUGGUAUUUUUAUUAAAAUUUAUUUUAUUUUAAUUUUUAAACAAAUUGAGAUGGAUUCUCACAUGUUGCCCAUGGUGGUCUUGAGCUCCUGGGCUCAAGUGAUCCUCUCGCCUUGGCCUUCCAAGGUGCUGGGAUUACAGGCGUGAGCCACUGCACCCAGUCUUCAAUGUUAUUUGAAUACCGUGUACAACAUAAUCCUAUGGCAACAUAGGAAAGUAGCACUGAACUAGAAGUCUCUUCCAAUGGGCAUUUACUUAAGCCCUCAUGCUAGCCCAUUUUGUGAUCGUAUUUUCAAAAAGUAAAAUUUCAAAUAAUCUUACCCUUUCCUUUGAAAAGCAGUGACCUCCUCAAAGCUAUGUAUACUGAGGAUGUUAUUACUAAGUUUUCUACCCAGGGAGCAUUUUACGUCCCUGGGUAGAAAUAAAAUUAUUAUGAUAUUUAGCAGUGUAAUCUUUUCCACUUUAUCUGUUAUCUAUAAUCUACAGAUCUUUAAUCCAGCUAAACAAUCCUUUCACUGUCAGUUCACCUGAUUUGUUCCUUUCUGGUUAAAGAGCCACAACUGCUUUUGUUCUUACAACAUCACCCAUGGAGGUCUUGGUAAAAGCACAUUGUCUCAUCUUCAUAUUAAAUUUUUCUCUUAAGUACACAGUGCAAAUGUUUUUUGAACAAUGCACCUCAAAUAUGUUUUUGCUUUGCAAAAGAAGCACCUCUCAAAUUUCCCAAGUUUCCUGGGAAAGUAAGUAUCUUAAGAUUCUUAACAGUGCAACUAUCUGAUUGACUGCUGGGUAAAAUGGGAAGAUCUUAUUUAUGACAAGUAGACAAUCAUCAUUGAAAGCAUUAAAAAUUAUGCCAGAUAACAGAUAAAAUUAUGUUAAAACCUGGUGCAGAAAUUUUUCUAUGGAUUGAAAUGUGGGAGAGAGUCCAUGAUCCAGGUUCUGCUGAGUGAGGUUUUCCAGUAUGUAUAAGGCUAAUCCACAUCUUGUCACUGAGUCCUUUGAUGUGUAGAAGCAGGUGCAUAAAUCAGGAAUGGCAUGGGAUCUGGUACCUUACUACUAUCUACUAAAAGUGCUCUUUUCUAGAUUAGAUUCCCUGAUGCACUGGAGAAGAGGCAGCUGCAUGAAGACAGGCGAAGCAAGAAACUCACCUACUCAGGUGCUGUCUUCCUCCCAUUCUAUCAGGCUCCUCUGGCUCUAACGCUGUGCAGGAAAGGAUUAACUCAGCAGGCCUGGGCUGCUCAAACUCUGCAUGUUUCCAAGAAAGGCUUCUCUCCUCAACACUGGCUCUUGGUCAGCUCCUGGGAGAUGAGCUCUGAGCCCCUGGAGUAUUCUCCCUGAUAAGGUUUUUAUAUGCCUGAGGCCUUGGGUCACAAUGUGCCAGCUGGAUCAGAUAGUUUAUGCUGACGAUGUGAUUUAUCGUAAAUGUCUGUUGCUGCUUUGGGGGCUGGAGUCUGAGGAGCUGUAGCCAGCCAUGGAGGUACUCUGUGUCUAUGUGACUCAGCUCAGUAAAAAUGUGGGGACUCAAGGCUCAGGUGAGUUUCCCUGUUGACAACACUUUGCAUGUGUGGUCACACACUGUUGCUGGGAGGACUCAGCACAUCCAUGUGACUCCACUGGGAGAGGACACCUGGAAGCUUAGGCCUGGUUUUACCUGGACUUUGCCCCAUGUGCCUUUUCCCUUUGCUGAUUUUAAUCUUUUUUUUCUUUUUUUUUUUUGAGACGGGGGUCACUCGGUUGCCCAGGCUGGAGUGCAGUGGCACGAUCUAAGCUCACUGCAACCUCCACCUCCUGGGGUUUGAGUGAUUCUCCCACCUUAGCCUCCCGGGUAGCUGGGAUUACAGGCAUGCGCCACCACUCCUGGCUAAUUUUUGCAUUUUUAGUAGAGGCAGGGUUUCACCAUGUUGGCCAGGCUGGUCGUGAACUCCUGACUUCAAGUGAUCUGCCCGCCUUGGCCUCCCAAAAGUGCUGGGAUUACAGGCGUGAGCCACUGCAUCCAGUCUUAAUCUGUAUCCUUUUGCUGGAAGAAACUGUAUUGUGAGUAUAACACCUUUUCUGACUCAUGUGAGUUCUAGUGAAUCAUCGAGCCUGAGGAUGAUCUUGGGGAACCCUGACAUGAACACUGAAAACCCAAUCUGAGUAUUUUAGCUCUGUGCACUCAUUUCUAUCUAGGUGACAAUUAUUUUAAUGAGCGAAAACUUGGGCAAAGGCUGUUCUAAAAAGAGUGAAGGAAUGGUCAGGAGGUACUGGCCCACAUCCAGUAUCACCAAUUCUUUGAUUCUAUCUCCCAAAUCUCUCUCAAAUCUGUCUUCUUUCCUCCAUUAACCUAAUCUUGGCUACCACCUUCUCCCAUCAGACUGCACUAGCAUUCUGACUGGUUUCCACCCUCACUCACUCCUCAGCUUGAUGCCAGAGAAAGCCUUUACAAACAUACCUAAGUCCCUUUCCUACUUAGAAUGCUUCAGUGCGGUCUUACUGCCCGUGAAGCCCUAAAUCCUUUACAGGGCCUCUUGUACCUGGGAGCCUUCGUGCACGCCUUUGUUCAACAUAACCCCCUUUCCACCCCAUCUGCCUAGUAUCAGCUUGAAUAUCAUUUCCUCAGGGAAGCGGCUCCCGAUCAGCUUGUGGUCUGGGUGAGGUCUUUGAUGUACUCUCCUAUUACACCCUCUUCUUUUACCUUUGCAGCCAGCGGUGCUCUGUAUACCUCUACUUAUUACAAUAUUUAUAAUAAUUUAAUGUCUGUCUUUUCCACUAAAGGGUAAGUUCCAGGAGGGCAGAGGCUUUUUCUGCACCACUUGUAACCUCAGCACUUUAAUAUUAGCACAGGGCCUGGCACAUACCAGAUGCUUAAUAAAUACCUGUUUACUCUUUGAGCCUUGUGGCGUGAAGGUCUAGCAGACAAAGAGUAAGACAGAGAGGAGCAAAGAGCCUGGAACAAGAGGCGGCUGGUAUAAUGCCUGGUCUGUUAUAACACGAUUUCUGAACUAGGUUUUUGAAAAAUAUAUAUACCCACAUAUACGACAUAAACAAUCCCAUAGAGCACACUGGUAGGAAACAUAUUUUCAUAGGCUGAGAGGACUGAGCAAUACUUGUAUGACUAGCAGCUGGAUGAAUCCAUGGCCAAGGCAUAUCACCAUUCGAGAGGAUGUGAAGGGAAAAGAGGGGACCGCCCAUGCACCAUGCUGACCCCCAUCGUGGGACUCCAUGCCACUGAUUCAGCAAAUACCCCCAUUUCCAAGAAUUCUUCUCCUGGGCUAUCCAGGUUAUAUGUAUAUUUUGCACAUACACUGAGAACCCGCAGCCACCACUGCAGAAUGGUUAUCCAUUUUGAAAUUUGGCCUAGGGUCUUGGCAGUCCUCGCAGGUUGACUACUGCUAAAAAUAAUUUCUGCCCUCCAUUGCCAAUGUCUGAGGCUUGGAAGUUUGCUCUGGCCCAGCCCACUCCGUCCAGGCCAUGGUCUCUGCUGAUCUAACUUUCUCUGGCUCAGCUCUGUGAUGCCCCAUCCAGCACUUGCCCUGGCUUCUGAGGCCCUUAGAGAUUAUCUGGCCCAUCUUCCCACACCAGGCUGCAAUCUUCUUGACAAUAUCCCUGGUAGGUGGUUAUCAGAUUUAUCGAAUGCCUUCAGGGCAAGAGGUAGCCAACCAGUUUGUGAACAUCUCACCAUUUUCCUUUCGUAAAAUGGAAGGGCAUUUUCUACUUGGAUUUGGAAUAGUACCAGAUACUCAUUCUUAAAAACAUACACGUGUAUGUCCAGACAAACAACACACUUCCUAAGAAAUAUUUUCCCAGAGUGAUUCUAUUGAUGGUGAUCAUAAUUGGCUGUGUUGUAAAAGCAUUUCCCAAUAAACGGUAAAGCAGCCACCCACCCAAGGACAUAUUGUGCAUAAGGCAGGGAGGAGGGAGAUUUACUAAUGUAUUUCUUAGAAAAGCAGUAUUUUAGCUAUAUUUCUCGUGUUUUAUCAUACUGCUUCACAAACAAAAAAGCAGUUGUCUUUGUCACAUUUCUAAUAUUCUAUUAAACAAACCACUGAAAAGCAACUGGAGAUGAAGGAAGAGACGGGGAAGAGAAAAAGGAAGUAUGUGCUGAGAUCUACACUGGAGGACAAUUCAGACCACAGGUUUAUCUCAAUGUGAUCCUCUCCAACGUCUUCCUUGCCCUAUCCUUCCUGAGCAGGACUAUCUGAUAUUCCCCCAUCCAGAGGUUUCCAAUGUAGUUGGGGCUUUCAUACUGAUUUUCUAUGUAUUACCUUAUGAGUUUUUCAAAAGCUUCCUUUUCUUUCCGCAAAGCAGUGAGAUAGCGUUGUUCCUCAGUUGAACCUCCGUAUAUAAGAAAGUAAACCCUGCAUGUUAAGACAGAACUUUUAGGUUGGAAAAACAGCAUUUUUAAUCCCUGAAAGGAACAGCAGAACAUGUGAAAUCAGCAACCUAGAGCGCUCAAAUAACAAAUAUUUGACUAAGAAUCAAAGGUUUCAUUUAUCACACACUAGCUCAAAUUAAGCUGCCUAAACCCCACCUGUUAAAGGUCUCGUUACCACACAGGGCAUUUUUUAUUUUCUUUUGCCAAAAGGAAGAAACGAGUUUAGGUAAACACUGAAAUAUAACUAGAGGGAUAGAAUAAUUCUCUCCUCAUAACUAUAAACAAACAGAAAAACACACAAAUUUUAGAGGCUUCUCCAAUUCUUUCUUUGUACCUCAGCCAAACAAUCAUUUAAAAAGUUGGACAGUAGUUAUGAAAACCAGCCUAUGAACGUUUUUUUUAAUUCAUGUCUUAACAGAAUACAGCGGUCACACAUUUUAUAUAAAUACAUGGGCAUGGAAGACGUAUGGAUUACAUCAGGCAUCUCAAAGAAUAAUUUGAUCUACUUUCUCUUAGAAAAGUCCUGGUUUUUAGGCUGGGCACGGUGGCUCACACCUGUAAUCCCAGCACUUUGGGGGGCUGAGGUGGGAGGAUCAUUUGAGCUCAGAAGAUCAGCCUGGGUAAUAUACUGAGACCCCAUCUCUACAAAAAAAAAAAAAAAAUUAGUUGAGCAUGGUGGCACAUGCCUGUAGUCCCAGCCACUUGGGGCUGAUGUGGGAGAAUCACGUGAGUCAGGGAAAGGGGGAGGUGUUGAGGCUGCAGUGAGCCAUGAUUGCAACACUGCACUCCAGUCUGGGCAUCUGGGCAAGACACUGCCUCAAAGAAAAAAAAAAAAAGGAAAAAAAAAAAAGGCCUGCUUUUCCAUCUUGUUUGUUGCUAAGAGAGCUGAAUUAAGCACCUCCUCUGUCCCUUUGCUUCACCUUCAGUCAAAGCUAUUUUCCUUUUUGAGCCUUGGUUUUUCUUUUAGCUGUUAUCUUCCUAGAUGAUAAUUCUUUGAAGUGUAAACAGAGAAAAGAUCAUUGGGUGAUGAGUCAAGAGACUCAGCUCUCCCACGGAUGUGUCAUGUGGCCAAGGCCAACUCAGUCACCAUUUCUGGGCCUCAGUUUCCCGUUGAUAGAGUAAGUGGUUGAACUCCCAGGUCCCUUCUGAUUCUAACAUUUUGCUCCCAAAUACCACACUAUUCUGUUCUCAGGCAAGAAAGAAGCUUGGUGUACAUAAGCUAUCUACAAAGUUGAUCAACAGCACGGUACAAAAAAUUUACCAGCCUAUAAUUAUUUUACCAGCCUCAUCUAAUCUCUUCAUCCUGCAUUAUUUCUGAUCCAGCUCCUCCAUUCAUCUCUACUCUGAAAGGCUGUGUUAGUUAAAAUGCUAGGGGAAGGUUUCUUUUGGCUCCGUUUUUGGUUCAGACUGAGUUCAGGAUAUUAAUUUUGCUGUUUAUUUCCCCUCAGAUAAUUGGAAAGCCAGAACACUAUCUUCUUUGGGAGGCAUCAUUUUCUCAUCUGAUAUUUCUGUAGAUGUUUCAUCUGAUAUAUCUUGAAACUCAAGAAAACCUGGUACAGUAAUUCCCCCAACACUUUAGUUUUAUAUGGAUGUAAUUUAGAGUCAUUUCUUAAAAUUUAUAGGAAAGAUAUUUUAGAAGAUUAAAAUUACUUAGCCGAGUCACAGUUAUAUUAACUUUUGUUAGAAAUUAGAAUAUUAUGCAUUUCCCAGACUUUUUCAGAUACAGUACCCCAUACGAUGCAAACCAAUACCCAAAGAAUAAAGGAGAGAACGCACAGCAGCACGUAACGAGAACAAGAGCAGUCCCCUUGGUUUGUUGUUCUGCUGUGAUACUUGACAUCCUUCCUAUCCAACUUCCCAGAUUCAUCAGGAAGCAAAAUAAGGUUUCAUAAACAUAAGCAGCAUCGUAACGGAUAUUAAAGAAAACUAACAUGCAACUGGUAUAGUUUCUGGGUUAAAUCCUAAAGAACUGUGCAACUGAAAGCUGUGAUUCUUUAUAACUUGCCUCAGAGGUUUCCCAGGCCUACUCGCCCUGUAAAUUUCAAGCUGCCGAACAAAGGUUAGCUCUGCGUCAUAAAGAACCAC